GGAUGAAGGAUGCCGAGGAAAGGGGCCAUGUGUGCUGAGGUCCAGAGAUAUGAGCAGGGACGUCUCCAAAACAUAGGCUCUGGACCAGGAACACUGAUAGACUGGCCUCUUCCUCCAGAGGAGAGGUCGGGCUCAGGAAAUAUCCAUCCCCAAAACGACAGAGCAGGGACAGUUCCCAGCCCAGAGGGACAGGCUCGGUCGGAGUUGAGGAUGCCAUUGUGGAGAAGGAGACGCAUGUGGACAGAGAAUGGCUCUGGAGCUGUGGAGCCUGGUGCAGGAUCUGACUCAGAGACACUCCAUAAACCUUUCUCAAAGAAUAUAUGAAUGCGGCGUGAAAGUGAAGCUGCUGUUUCUGCAGCACAAGGCUGUGGUGAGGAGUCCAUGAAGAGGGGCCCACCAGGCCUCAGGGGCCACUCAUGCCAGGAAGGGGCAGUCAUCCUAGGAGGAGUGGUGCUAUCAGAAGCUACCUCAGGAGAAGAAGCUGAGGCAGGCUGUCCCUGGAGGGCAAGGUCCAAUGCCGGAGACACAAGGUUCAUCAGGAGUCAUCUGCUCUCUGCCAGGCACUGUCCUUGAUGCUGAAGACUCAAGGCCGCUUCACUACAGCCCAGUCCUAAGCAUCCGCCCAUCUCCCAGCAGCCCAGCCAGGUCUCCACUGUUGACCACGACAAGGUCAACAACAAGGUGUCCACCUAGCCUCAUGGGCGCAGGAGGCCUUGCUCUCCCCAAGCUCAAGGUGGCUGCAGUCAGUUCCCACCAGGUGACAGUGAUUGCCUUAGCAGCUGGUGGGCGCUCCCUGCCCCGGAGGCCGCCCACCUUGGGUGGGACACAAGGCAGCAGACAAUGGGAAGGAAUGAGAAUUCGUGAGGCCAGCAAGGGUGGCUGGUACUCCACAGAAUACCUGCUGCCAGGCCCCGUUCUCUUAACCCGAGACCCUAUGACCCCAGG
ensembl:lncRNA